UGUGGCCCUCUGGUGCUUCCCAUGACAACCCUGUGGCCAUUAGCCCCUGCCAUGCUGCUGGGCUGCAAGCCCUGGCAAGGUGUAGUUGCCAGGAAGCCCCAGCUGAGAAGGCUGGCAAGCAACUCUGUCGAAGGUAGGUGGGAGAGGUGGUAGGGGCUGCUGAAAGCUACCUGGGAAGUGACAGGGCCUAUUCCUUUCUAAGAAGCGCCUCCCAGGAAAUAGGCAGCUCAGCCUUGAGUCAUCACUGAUAACCUGGGCCAAGGAGCCACCAGGUGGAGUCAACUCACCAUCAUCUGUGUGUGUCAGAGGUGCAGGGACCAGGAGAAGGGCGCACUGUCAGGUCCAGGUGUGCCACAGGAAGCAGCUGGUGUGUCCAAAACAAUGAGAAGAGGCCAAAGGAGACAAAGAGGAGGAAGUGCUGCCAGUGGAUCAGAGUCUGAAAUCCUCCCUGCACUGGUGGCCGUGGGGAUCUACCCUUGGCUGCCACCUACUACUCUCUCCCCCUCCAGCCCCCUAUACCACCUCACUCACUGUCACCUGCCGGUUCCCAGAAGGAGGAGACAGGACGUUCUAGGAAGGAUUCAAAUUCCACCUCCAGGUCACUGAGACAGGCUCCUGCCUCUUACCCCCUAGGGGCCUGGCUGGGGCCAUCAGAGCUGGCGUUAGCCAGUUCUCUGGUUGCCCCUGCAAGUUGCCCCUCUGGAUGCCAGAUGAGGACACCUUCCCUGGAGCCCUUAGGGAUCCUGGCGGACCUGAAUCCAGGAGCCAAGGCCUGCUCUGGAGCAUGGAGG
rnacentral:lncRNA from 10 species